rnacentral:rRNA from 1 species
UACGGGGGGGGGCAAGCGUUGUUCGGAAUUACUGGGCGUAAAGGGCUCGUAGGCGGCCAACUAAGUCAGACGUGAAAUCCCUCGGCUUAACUGGGGAACUGCGUCUGAUACUGGAUGGCUUGAGUUUGGGAGAGGGAUGCGGAAUUCCAGGUGUAGCGGUGAAAUGCGUAGAUAUCUGGAGGAACACCGGUGGCGAAGGCGGCAUCCUGGACCAACACUGACACUGAUGAGCGAAAGCCAGGGGAGCAAACGGG